rnacentral:rRNA from 1 species
UACGUAGGGUGCGAGCGUUAAUCGGAAUUACUGGGCGUAAAGCGUGCGCAGGCGGUCCGUUGUAUCUGCGGUGAAAUCCCCGGGCUUAACCUGGGAAUGGCCGUGGAAACUGGCGGGCUUGAGUGUGGCAGAGGGGGGUGGAAUUCCGCGUGUAGCAGUGAAAUGCGUAGAGAUGCGGAGGAACACCGAUGGCGAAGGCAACCCCCUGGGCUGACACUGACGCUCAGGCACGAAAGCGUGGGGAGCAAACAGG